UUAAUGAAUUGACGGGACCGCACAAGCGGUUGGAUGAUGUGGUUUAAUUCGAUGCAACGCGAAAACCUUACCCACCUUUGACAUGUACGGAAUCCUUUAGAGAUAGAGGAGUGCUCGAAAGAGAGCCGUAACACAGGUGCUGCAUGGCUGUCGUCAGCUCGUGUCGUGAGAUGUUGGGUUAAGUCCGCUAACGAGCGCAACCCUCGCUGUGUGUUACAAGUGUCACACGGAACUGCCGGUCAUAAACCGGAGGAAGGUGGGGAUGACGUCAAGUCAGCAUGGCCUUUAUAUCCUGGGCUACACACACGCUACAAUGGGAAGGGACAAUAGGUUGCGAAGCCGCGAGGCGGAGCCAAUCCAGCAAAACUUCCCUCAGUUCAGAUUGCAGGCUGCAACCCGCCUGCAUGAAGUUGGAGUUGCUAGUAAACGCAGGUCAGCCAUACUGCGUUGAAUACGUUCCCGGGGCUU
rnacentral:rRNA from 1 species